GAUGUAGUAUUGAGUGAGCCCCAUUUUCACCCUUUCGCGCCCCUUCUCCAUGAGAACAACACUAAGCAUCUUCUUCAACACCAAAACUGCGCACGCCCCGCCAUUGUCGUAUAAGCUUAAGCCCUAUCUUGUUUCGUUUGUUUGGUGACCAGCGCUAGUCGUUUCCCCCCCGAAGAAGUGUCUUUGGAAGCAUCAUCGUCUUCUGCAAAAGCUUCAGCGCCAUUGUUGAAACUGUGCGCGCAAGGAACCCUAAAUCGUUUAAGGUUUGGAAUGCGGUUACUGUGACUUCAAUGCCCUUAAUCUACUCAUCACUUGUCCCUCUAUUCUGAUUGUUCGUGCACUGAAGAUGUGAAGCCAUUGGUGCCAUAUUGUCAGCAACGGACUCAGUUUGUACAUUGCAGUUUGCUACAAUGGCUUGACUUCAGCAACAUCGAUACUAUUACAGCCUUGAAAUUGUUGGGGACUUUCCUUUACCUCUUCUGCACUAGUACUGGCGUUGGCAUACUAGUUGGCCUUUUGAGUGCUUAUAUUAUUAAAACACUUUACCUUGGAAGGCAUUCUACUGAUCGUGAAGUUGCACUUAUGAUGUUGAUGGCAUAUUUGUCAUAUAUCAUUGCUGAGGCCAGAAUUUGAACUACCAAGAAACUUUCACCCUUGUUCUUGCAGAUCAAGAUUCUGUUCGGCUACUUGCAGUUGAGGAUUGUGCAGCUCUUGGAAAACUGUUGGAACCUCAAGAUUGUGUGGCACUAGGUAACUUUUUCUUACCUGCUAAAUGAUUGGUUGGUUAUCAUGAUUUUCUGACACACUUUUUUUCCAUUGGUGCUAUUGGAAAAUUUGUUUUUGUUGGUAUUAAUCACUACAUUCUUGUGUUGGUAAAAAAACUCAUGGUUCAUGAUUGAAUGUAUAAAAGUUAUGACUGCAUAUUAAUUUCUUCAGCCUAAACAAAAAGCCUAAAACAGUCAACACUUAAUUGACCACUGAUUUUGAAACCUGUACAGCCUAAAAACCAAAAGAGGAUAAUUUAUAGGGUAAACUUAAAAAAUAUUCAAACUGGAACUUGUGAACUUGCUUGUAAUAUCAUCAUGCAUCAUAAAAAUAUAUAGUGUAUGGUAGUUGACGUUGCUCUUAUAGCAGUGUCACCUCACCUAAAAGAGCCUGGCUGCUAAGGUAUGUCACCAUGUAAUGAUUUUGUGAAGCAGCCCAAUAGAAGCUUUCAUUAAAUUUCUCCCUUUAUUCAUAGUCCAUCUUGGCAAAGCUAAUAACUCUUUCUGGGUAAUGUCUAGCUUUGAAUGCUAAUGGACUGACUCAUAAUUUCCCUUUUAUCCUGUUCUGUUGCUUCAUCAACUGUGUAGUU